CAAAAGCACCAAAAACCUAAGGUUGGCAAUCAAGCCAAAGUCAAAGAGCUAAUAAAAUCUAGAAAUGGAAUUAACUCAUUUACAGGGGAAAGGUUGCUCCAGCUAUAUAGAUUCCUAAGGCACUUUGCUUUCAGGGAGCACUUGGGAGUUGAUAUGCCCAUCAAAGCAUAUGUGAUUCAUUUCUGUCCAAAUACACCAAAAUAUACUUGUUGGGAUCAUCUGCCAGAUCUUGUUGAUGGUUCUUGUUAGAAGUCUAACUGUAUU
rnacentral:lncRNA from 1 species